GACUACUGGGGUAUCUAAGCCCAUUCGCUCCCCACGCUUUCGUCCACUGAGUGUCAGAACUGUCCUAGCAAACUGCCUUCGCAUUUGGUGUUCUUGCUGAUAUUAAUGGAUUUAACCCCUACACCAGCAAUUCCGUUUGCCUCUUCCAGUCUCUAGCUUAUCCAUCUCUCCCGCUGACUCGAGGUUGGGCCUCGAGAUUUAACAGGAGAUGCGAUAAACCACCUACGGACGCUUUGCGCCCUCGUAUUCCGGCUGCUGCUGGCACGAGGUUAGCAGCCCCUUAUUCAUCUGGUACCGUCAUGAUUUCGUCCCAGAUAAAAGUAUUUUACACCCCGAAGGGCUUCUUCAUACACGCGGCGUCGCUCCUUCAGGCUUUCGCCCAUUGAGGAAGAUUCUCGACUGCAGCCCCCCGUAGG
rnacentral:rRNA from 1 species